rnacentral:rRNA from 1 species
GAUGAACGCUGGCGGCGUGCCUAAUACAUGCAAGUCGAGCGAACAGACCAGGAGCUUGCGCCUCUGACGUUAGCGGCGGACGGGUGAGUAACACGUGGAUAACCUACCUAUAAGACUGGGAUAACUUCGGGAAACCGGAGCUAAUACCGGAUAAUAUAUUGAACCGCAUGGUUCAAUAGUGAAAGACGGUUUUGCUGUCACUUAUAGAUGGAUCCGCGCCGCAUUAGCUAGUUGGUAAGGUAACGGCUUACCAAGGCGACGAUGGGUAGCCGACAUGAGGGGGUGUAGGGCGACACUGGAAGUGAGACACGGUCCAGACACCGACGGGAGGCAGCAGUAGGGAAUCUUCCGCAAUGGGCGAAAGCCUGACGGAGCAACGCCGGGUGAAUGAUGAAGGUCUUCGGAUCGUAAAACUCUGUUAUUAGGGAAGAACAAAUGUGUAAGUAACUAUGCACGUCUUGACGGUACCUGGUCAGAAAGCCACGGCUAACUACGUG